UGGGGAAUUUUGGACAAUGGGCGCAAGCCUGAUCCAGCCAUGCCGCGUGCGGGAAGAAGGCCUUCGGGUUGUAAACCGCUUUUGUCAGGGAAGAAAUCUUCUGAGUUAAUACCUCGGGAGGAUGACGGUACCUGAAGAAUAAGCACCGGCUAACUACGUGCCAGCAGCCGCGGUAAUACGUAGGGUGCAAGCGUUAAUCGGAAUUACUGGGCGUAAAGCGUGCGCAGGCGGUUUUGUAAGACAGAGGUGAAAUCCCCGGGCUCAACCUGGGAACUGCCUUUGUGACUGCAAGGCUUGAGUGCGGCAGAGGGGGAUGGAAUUCCGCGUGUAACAGUGAAAUGCGUAGAUAUGCGGAGGAACACCGAUGGCGAAGGCAAUCCCCUGGGCCUGCACUGACGCUCAUGCACGAAAGCGUGGGGAGCAAACAGGAUUAGAUACCCUGGUAGUCCACGCCCUAAACGAUGUCAACUGGUUGUUGGGAAGGUUCCUUCUCAGUAACGUAGCUAACGCGUGAAGUUGACCGCCUGGGGAGUACGGCCGCAAGGUUGGAACUUAAAUGAAUUGACGGGGUCAUAGCUGUUUCCUG
rnacentral:rRNA from 1 species